rnacentral:rRNA from 1 species
UGGGGAAUAUUGGGCAAUGGGCGCAAGCCUGACCCAGCAACGCCGCGUGAAGGAAGAAGGCCCUCGGGUUGUAAACUUCUUUUAUUCGGGACGAAGAAGUGACGGUACCGAAUGAAUAAGCCACGGCUAACUACGUGCCAGCAGCCGCGGUAAUACGUAGGUGGCCAAGCGUUAUCCGGAUUUACUGGGUGUAAAGGGCGUGUAGGCGGGACUGCAAGUCAGAUGUGAAAACCAUGGGCUCAACCCAUGGCCUGCAUUUGAAACUGUAGUUCUUGAGUGAUGGAGAGGCAGGCGGAAUUCCGUGUGCAGCGGUGAAAUGCGUAGAUAUACGGAGGAACACCAGUGGCGAAGGCGGCCUGCUGGACAUUAACUGACGCUGAGGCGCGAAAAGCGUGGGGAGCAAACAGGAUUAGAUACCC